AGAAAGUGGGAUGGGAUGGUGCACAGGAGGGAAAGAGAACACUGGAAAUUCCACAAAACCCAGAAAACACACAAAACAAAUAUAGGAUGUUAAAAGGUGCUGCAUACCCCAGCAACAGGACGGAGGGAUCCAGGGACGGAGGAAGAAGAAGAGAAGGACGGGUGGGUGGAGGACAUAAAAACGUCAAUAUACUUUUGAUGACAAAGUGAGCUGUCACAAAGCGGAAGACGUGUCCGGAGCCACAGGAUCCAUCAGACGCGCCUCUUUGUUGCAAUGACAACUUUUGUUAUCUGAAUGUCACGCAAAGUCUCGGCCAAUUGUUUUCCAGAGAGAUUAUACAGACAUGACAGCCCAUCACAGCUGUUUAUUACAUUACAUCACAUCUGAUCUCUCUAAUCUCUCACAGGAGAAACAGAGAGAAGGAGAGAAGGAGGGAGGAAGAGAGGGAGAGAGAGAGAGGUAUAGGAGAUUAAUGUACUGACAACGUAGCAAACCUCAGAUUCGCCCGUCCUCAUGCAUAUUGAUGAAGAAAACCCACCAGGAGAGUAUACACAGCUAGCUUUAAUGCUUUAAUGCGCAUUAUGGCAAUAAUGAGAGAGAAGCUACUUAGAUCACAUAAUUCUCCAGAGUCCCAUCAUAAAUAACAGCUUACAUGUAGCUUACUUAGAUAAAUAGGCGGAUGGAAGUGAGGGACGGAGCGCCUGCGUUCACUCAAGCUUAGGAGAUUUCUCUGCGCACAAGGAACUCCAACUGCUCGCAAAUCCUGUGCGGCGUGCGCCACGUGCAUGUGCAUUUGUGUCUUUGCAGGAGGUAAAAAAAAA